rnacentral:rRNA from 1 species
UACGAAGGGGGCGAGCGUUGUUCGGAAUUACUGGGCGUAAAGGGCGCGUAGGCGGCCGAUCAAGUUAGAUGUGAAAGUCCUGGGCUUAACCUGGGGACUGCAUUUGAUACUGAUUGGCUUGAAUUCGGGAGAGGAUAGCGGAAUUCCCAGUGUAGAGGUGAAAUUCGUAGAUAUUGGGAAGAACACCGGUGGCGAAGGCGGCUAUCUGGACCGGUUCUGACGCUGAGGCGCGAAAGCGUGGGUAGCAAACAGG